rnacentral:lncRNA from 1 species
GAUAUGUAACCCUGAUCGAAGAGUCCCAAACCAGUGGGACUCUUGACCCCGGUAUCCAAAAUGUGUGGGACUCGUGAUCAGAAAAUCCUGAUUCUCGAUCACAGAGUCUCAGACAUAUAAGACUCAUAGUCCAUGAGUAUUAAGACUCUUCAUCAGCCAUCAGAUCAGAUAGGAACCUCUAAUGUGUGUGACCCCGCAGGUUCGAACCUAAGCUGGUAGCACAGGAACCAAUUCCUGUACUAAUCGAAGUGACCAUCUAGCAAUGGUACCCGAUGACCGGAU